GAUGAACGCUGGCGGCGUGCUUAACACAUGCAAGUCGAACGAAGCACUUUAACCUGAUUCUUCGGAUGAAGGGUUUUGUGCCUGUGAGUCAGACGUGUGUGUCACGCGUGGGUAACCUGCCUCAUACAGGGGGAUAACAGUUAGUAAUGACUGCUAAUACCGCAUACAAGCACAUAGCCGCAUGGCGCGGUUGGCAAAACUCCGGUGGUAUGAGAUGGACGCUCGUCUGAUUAGGUAGUUGGCGGGGUAACGGCCUACCAAGGCAAAGACGAGUAGCCGAGCUGGGAGGGUGACCGGCCACAUUGGGAGUGAGACACGGCCGGAAAUCCUCGGGGAGGCAGCAGUGGGGAAUAUUGCACGACGGGGGAAACGAUGAUGGUGUGACGCCGCGUGAGCGAAGUAGUAUUUCAGUAUGUAAAGCUCUAUCAGCAGGGAAGAAAAUGACGGUACCUGACCAAGAAGCGCCGGCUAAAUACGUG
rnacentral:rRNA from 1 species